CAAACAAAAUUUUUGUAAAAUUGUGGGUUAACACUUGCAAAGUGGUAAAUGUGUUGCAAACAGUAAAAAUAAGUUAAUAUAUAAACAUUUAUUGAAUAUUUAAGAUAAGAUUUUAAGGCUGCUGUAAAGGUUUCUGUGAAGUACAUGACGCAAUCUGUGUAAUAAAAAAGCUAUAGUGUGUUUAUUCUGAAACGACAUGCGGUGCCAGUGCAGAGUGAUCAGUGGAAAACAGCGGGCUUUUGUUUGAGUGAACUUAAUUCCUUUUAGUCAGUGAUUUUCGUGAAGUUCUUUAGUGUAUAUUAUAUGUUUCAGUUUUCAUUUUGGCAAAGAAUUAUUACUCCUGUUCAGAUUUCCUUUUGUUUCUAGUUUUCAGUACCGUGAUUGCUAUUUAUUUGCACCUGAAUAUUAUUUUUAAAACGUUUCACAGGAAAUAAUGACAAUCAAACGUUAUGGUUUAUACAUCUGUUUCUGCUCCUAAGAAUUUUAUGGUAUAUAAAAUGGAAGAUUAUAUUAAAAUGGAAAAAAUGAAUAGUAUAUUAUGUUCUAUAUAGCUUUAGAUUCUUAACUUAACGUAUCAUGAUGUGGCUGAAAUAUUGUGACGGUUUUCGUUUACUUUUCAGUUAUGAGGAAGUAUUAAUAAAGAAAUCAAUUCUCUUUACUUGGAGUUGGGGUUUAACAUCCUGCUGCUUCUCAACAUUAUGUAGUGUAGGAGUUUUACCUGUUAGUGCCAUGAUCCUCUGAAGUCCUUACUCAGAGUGAGAUCAGUCUUACCAUUUCAUGCAGGAUAUUCCUGGUGACGUUGGUUAGAGCUUGUGGUUUUGUUAUGGCAAAAUUCCCAUGACUACGUGCCGGGGAGGAUGUUCCCCUACCCCGAGUUCUGAACUCAGAUGUUAGGAAAUUGGUGCCACCACCAUUGGCUGUCUAACCAACAUAUUAACCUUCUAACCUUUGUACCUGCCAAGUCAGCUCUGAAUUAAUCCAUUAAACACAAAUAAAACAACA